rnacentral:rRNA from 1 species
UACGGGGGGGGCAAGCGUUGUUCGGAAUUACUGGGCGUAAAGGGCUCGUAGGUGGCCAACUAAGUCAGACGUGAAAUCCCUCAGCUUAACUGGGGAACUGCGUCUGAUACUGGAUGGCUUGGAUUCGGGAGAGGAAUGCGGAAUUCCAGGUGUAGCGGUGAAAUGCGUAGAUAUCUGGAGGAACACCGGUGGCGGAGGCCGCAUUCCGGACCGACAUUGACGCUGAGGGGCGAAAGCCAGGGGAGCAAACGGG